rnacentral:misc_RNA from 1 species
GUAUAAAAUUCAUCUUUUAUUCAACAUUCUAAAAUGACAGGGUGUUUUGUGUUUAGAUAGACCUGAAAUGAAAAAAAAAGGGAAAGCCGACUAGAAAAGAAGCGCAGCAGUCCCAAAAACUCGGUCUACAAUAUGUGCACAGUUGGAGAGAUAUAAAGAUGACAAGCGUGCACUUUGCCCCCCAAGGGACCAGCAACAGCCUGUUCAAGUUUAUUCGAUAAUGAUCCUUCCGCAGGUUCACCUACGGAAA